rnacentral:rRNA from 1 species
UGGGGAAUUUUGGGCAAUGGGGGCAACCCUGACCCAGCGACGCCGCGUGGGGGACGAAGGCCUUCGGGUCGUAAACCCCUGUUAGGUGGGACGAACAUCUCCCCACAAAAAGUGGAGAGACUUGACGGUACCACCAGAGAAAGCCCCGGCUAACUCCGUGCCAGCAGCCGCGGUAAUACGGAGGGGGCGAGUGUUGUUCGGAAUUACUGGGCGUAAAGGGCGCGUAGGCGGCUUGGCAAGUCGAGUGUGAAAUCCCUUGGCUUAACUGAGGAAUUGCGCUCGAAACUACCUCGCUUGAGGGCGGGAGAGGGAAGUGGAACUCUCGGUGUAGGGGUGAAAUCUGUAGAGAUCGAGAGGAACACCGGUGGCGAAGGCGGCUUCCUGGCCCGUCCCUGACGCUGAGGCGCGAAAGCGUGGGGAGCAAACAGGAUUAGAUACCCUGGUAGUCCACGCCCUAAACGAUGGGCACUAGGUGUGGGCGGUAUUAAUCCCGCCUGUGCCGUAGCUAACGCAUUAAGUGCCCCGCCUGGGGAGUACGGUCGACG